rnacentral:misc_RNA from 1 species
GAUGAAGAACGUAGCGAAAUGCGAUAAGUAAUGUGAAUUGCAGAAUUCAGUGAAUCAUCGAAUCUUUGAACGCACAUUGCGCCCGCCAGUAUUCUGGCGGGCAUGCCUGUUCGAGCGUCAUUUCAACCAUCAAGCCCCCGGCUUGUGUUGGGGACCUGCGGCUGCCGCAGGCCCUGAAAACCAGUGGCGGGCUCGCUGUCACACCGAGCGUAGUAGAUUUUCAUCUCGCUCAGGGCGUGCUGCGGGUUCCGGCCGUAAAAAGCCUUAUUUACCCAAGGUUGACCUCGGAUCAGGUAGGAAGACCCGCUGAAUUUAAGCAUAUCAAUAAGCGGAGGA